rnacentral:rRNA from 1 species
AUUAAAGCGGUACGCGAGCUGGGUUCAGAACGUCGUGAGACAGUUCGGUCCCUAUCCGUCGUGGGCGUAGGAAAUUUGAGAGGAGCUGUCCUUAGUACGAGAGGACCGGGAUGGACAUACCUCUGGUGUACCAGUUGUCGUGCCAACGGCAUAGCUGGGUAGCUAUGUGUGGACGGGAUAAGUGCUGAAAGCAUCUAAGCAUGAAGCCCCCUCAAGAUGAGAUUUCCCAACUUCGGUUAUAAGAUCCCUCAAAGAUGAUGAGGUUAAUAGGUUCGAGGUGGAAGCAUGGUGACAUGUGGAGCUGACGAAUACUAAUCGAUCGAAGACUUAAUCAAAA